AAACUAUGACUUGUUUAAAAUAUUUGAUGAGUUGAGAUUUCCCAAGUAACGCAGAAGUCGGGCCGGGUUGAUAUUAGAAUAAGACAGGUGUCGGAAUCCUAACUUUGACUCAAGUUUGAUUUUUUAAACUCUAUAUAAUCCCACAUUAUGCUUCUUCCACUAUACUACUCAUUACUCCCUCUCUAUUGAUGAGGAAAAAGAGAAAAUUAAUCUAUGCUUCUUAAGAAAUAAUGGUGUCACUUAGUUUCAUUCGGUUGGUACUCGUGGCUUUGCUCGUCCUACAUCAGCUCUCAUCAGCUCAUGCUCUGUUUGGUAAAUAGUCUUCAAUUCGUACAUAUUCUCAAUAGCUAAUGAUAAAUCAUUUACCUAUUUUGUCCCCUGUCUUUAGGAAAGCUAAGGAAGAAAGAGUGGCUAGAGUUUACCACUAUUCGAAAAGAUCAUGAUUCUGUUUCUGUGGAUGGUAUCAUUGGCUCUGGUGGAGGAAUUAGAAAAAUGCUGGUGUAUCAAUUUUCCGGUAAGGUUGUGAAACAAGAGCAUAUGGCUUAUGGAAGAGCCUCUCACAUGAAUGCUGAUCAGGUGGAUAGCCAAAUAUUCGAGAAGAACACACGAAAUUCCCAGGGCACAGUCCACUUUCCAGAUCAACAGAAUCAUGAAAGAAGUAAGAAAGAAGAAUCAAAGGAGUAUGUUCAUGCAGAAGAUGAAGUAGCAAAGCUUAUGAGCAGAGACUACAGUGAAAGAAGUGGACCUCGCCGCAAGCCGCCCAUCAACAAUCACAAGCCUACAGACUAAUCAUAACCUAUGUUGCUCGGACUCUUUAAAAAUGGUGUCAGGUGCGUGUUGGAUCCUCCCAAAAUAGUGCAUUUUGAAGGAUCCGUCACGAGUGUGAUGGUAAUAUUGGAGAGUCCCAGCAACAUAGAUCACAAUAUCAAUAAAACUUUAUACUGACCUAGUGACAGUAUUACAUUUUGAUAUAGUAGUAGUAGCUUUGUAGCAGUAUUCAGAUUUGGGCCUCACAAUUUUGCCCCCUACAAGUGAAGGCCCAAAAAAUUAUACCUUAAUUAGGAUCAAAUAGUGAUAAAAUUACUGUUCUUGGUUUUCUUUUUUGGUCAUGAGAACAGUAAAUAGAAGUAUUGUCUCUAGUGAUUCUACCUUGACUGGAAUGUCACUGGCGGCCGAAUCAUGUUUGUUAUUGUACAUUUGUUUUCUUUCUUUCUUUCU